ACACAACCUUCCCUGCUGCAGUAACAAUCAUUUUGCCCACAUUAAGCAACACUGGAAUAUUAUGAUCCCCACAAAUACCCCCAUUUUCUAAAUCAUAUCCCAAACAAUUCCAAGUUUGAUAUCCCUUCCAAUAUUAUCUCCAUAGAACCUCCAGUAAAUCACCUCCUUCCUCAGCACGGCCUUUGCCCUUUUAUUGUUAAUAAUGUCACUCGGAGACUGAUGCACCAUCACAUAAAAACUCACAUUUCUCCCAAUUUGCUUCCUGUCCCGUUAUAAAUCCAAAUCCAAACUCAUAAAGACAGGAAGGCUGACUGACGUUCACAUAAACUAAUCACCCUCUGUGUUCCCAUUUGAGCGACAGGCACUGCAGCCAAUGACAGCAGGGGUCAGUGUGAAGUCUGAGCUACGAUAGGCUGGAGGAAAUCGGCCCAUGAUCAGCCCCUCCUUUUCCGCUCCAUCGCCAUGGCGGAGAUCAGCGAGUCGCUUCUGUCGGUGUCGCCGGCCUCGGCGCCCACAAGGACGGGUGUGAUUCCCCUUCGCACUCGGUGGGUCUGUUUCGGUGCCGUCUGUGGUGGCUGACGAAACAUGCUUUGACAGAGAGCGAGCGAGGAACAAUGACUACAACUCCCAGAAGGCCCCACUGAUGACGUUGUGGUGUUGUUUCGGGCUUUCCACCACAGAUGUAAGGCUCAAUGGUCUAUAAUUAUCGGGACUAUCCCUACUACCCUUUUUGAACAAGGGGACAACAUUCGCCUCCCUCCAAUACUCCGGUACAAUUUCCGUGGACAAUGAGGACAUAAUGAUCUUCGCCAGAGGCUCAGCAAUCUAUUUCCUUGCCUCGGAUGCAGAACUGGGAAGCGCAGAUGGAGUUCAACACAGAUGAAGGGGUUCAUUUCUGCAGGUCAAAUUUGAACACAGAAUAUAAUAUUAAUGUGAUCUUACUCCUGACGCCAGUCCCAGGACCCAACCCAUUUACAGACCCGGAGCAUAACGGGAGCAGAUCCUCAGCCACUGGUUUUCAUCCCCAGUCGCAAAGGUAGUCGUCACCAACCUUUAUAAGCCCAACAUUUACUACCUUGGCCUCAGUAAAAGGCGAGAUCGACUCCAAAUUGAUUAGUCACACACAUGUGCACUGGGGCAGAGAAGACCGGAAGUACAAUCCCGCAACCCAGAAGUAGAAAUAAUGCAUAAGCACCAGAGGUACCCACUAUUUUUGUACAGUGGACCGGUUUAAUAUUGAGAACAUCCUUGCGGACCAGCCGACGGGGGUUGUGUGUUAAACACGACCUUCACUGCUUUUGGCACCAAAAGUAAUAUUGGACACGGCCUACCCUACCACACUGAAGUCUACUGGUUGAGCAGAGGUGUUGUGCUCAAACAUUUUCUUUCAAUUACGUGCGGAAAUUUGACUAUUCAUCAAUGAGAAAGGGAAGCCAGUGGCAGAGUUCGAUGACCCAGACUGGCUUCACGAUCUUGCAUUUUUGGUGGAUAUAACAGAGCACUUAAAUAUGCUUAAUGUUAACAUGCAAGGCCCAAACAAUCUUGUUACGGAAUAUUACAACAGCAUUUGUGCCUUUCAAAUUGAAUUAGGCCUGUUGGAGCUGCAACUAUCCCGGAGCAACCCAGCUCAUUUCCCCUCUUUGCAGUCUGCGUGUGUCGCUCAUGGUAACAAUGACAACAUGGAGAGUUAGAAGGACAAAAUAUCACAGCUGGAAAGUAAGUUUCAGAAUCAAUUUCAAGUCUUCAGUCAGCUGGAGAAGGAAUUCUCACCAUUUUGCUCGGCGUUUGCCAUCACCGCAGCUUCAGAUGUGCCGGAGGAACUCAAAAUGGAACUAAUUGAAAUCCAGUGUAACUCGGCUUUGAAAUAUAAAUUUGUGACUGUGAGUCUGGACUCAUUCUAUCAAUACCUUGGACCGAUGUACCCCAAGAUGACAGACUUUGCCUCAAAGAUCCUUUGCAUCGUCGGGACAAGAUAUCUCUGUGAGCAGGCGUUGAUCCGGCCCGCAUGAAGCUGCAUUUUGCCCAAUCCGGCCUGUGACCUAAAAUGAGUUUGACACCCCUGAUAUACUACAUCCCUGUUAUACGACUUGUAACUCCUCAAGGAAUUCCAACAGGUUUGUCAGGCAAGAUUUUCCCUUGAGGAAACCAUACUGACUUUGUCCCACCUUGUCCUGUGUCACGAAGUAUUCCAUAUGGGCAUACUUAACAAUUGACUCCAACAUCUUCGAAACCACAGAGGUGAGGCUAACUAGUCUAUAAUUUCCUUUCUGCUGCUUUCCUCCUUACUAAAAGAGUGCAGCGACAGUUGAAAUUUUCAGGUCCUCUGACGAUGCCAGAGUCAAAUGAUUUUUGAAAGAUCAUUUCAAAUGCCUCCAGAAUGCCUAUUGCUACCUCUUUCAGAACACUAAGGUGCAGUUCAUCUGGUCCGGGUGACUUAUGUACCUUUAGGUCUUUCAGCGUUUUGAGCACCUUCUCCCUUGUACCAGUAACUGCACUCACUUCUCUUCCCUCGCACCCUUCAACACCGGGCACAGAGCUAGUGUUUUGCACGGUGAAGACUGGUGCAAAGUACUCAUUUAGCUCAUCUGCCAUCUCUUUGUCCUCCGUUAAUGUAUAUCCAGCCUCAUUAUCUAGCGAUCCUGUUACCACUCUCAUCUCUUUUACUUUAUUUACCUGCUUGGAAAAAAAACUUCUACUAUCCACUUUGAUAUUGUUUGCUAGCUUGGUUUCAAAUUUCAUUCUUCUCCUCCCAAUGAUUAUUUUAGUUCUGCUCUGUAGGUAUUUAAAGCUCCUGAAUCCUCUGUCUUCCUAAUAAUUUUUGAUUUGUUGUUGCCCCUCUCGUUUGCUUUUACAUUAGCUUGUCUUCCCUUAUCUGCCACAGUUGUACUAUUUUGCCAUUUGAGUAUUUAUUUAUUUUUGGAAUACAUCGAUCCUGCACCUUCCUCAUUUUCCCAGAAACUGUCACCAUUUCUGCUCUGUUGUCAUCAUUGCCAGCAUCUUCGUGCAGUUUGCUUUGGCCAACUCCUUCUUCAAUCCACUGUCAUUUCCUUUACUCCAGUGAAAUACUACAACAUCAGACUUUACAUUCUCCUUAUCAAAUUUCAAGUUGAGCUCAGUCAUGUCGUGAACACUGUCUCCUAAGGGUUCUUUUACCUAAUCACCUCUGGUUCAAUACAUAACAGCAGCAGGAGACAGGGAGGAGACAGGUGUAGCGCUUGUCCCGCUUGCAGGUGUCAGUGCCAGGAGGGAGAGGAGCGAGUGGAUAAAAGAGUUACGUAGACAGCGAUUCUGAGUGGGCUGGGUGUAGGGAGAGAUGUGCUUGGUGUUAGAAUCCGGCUGGAGAUGGUAAAAGAUGUCAGGAUAAGUUGGAUAUAGAGACUCGUGUUGUGGUAGGUCGGACUUUGGAGAUACACUUGGUUGAUUUUACCUUGUACAUUUUAACAGCUUCUUUAAUCGGCAUGAAGCAGUGCUCUUUGUGUUUCUGCGCAUCUCUACAGAUCACACAGUACAGUACCUUCUCCGUUUCACAAAACAGCUUCAGUUCUUCUUCAUGUUCCUCGCAGUGACGUUUACUUUCCUUCCCUUUUGCAUUCAGGCUUAGAUUCCGAACUUUGUGUGUCAGAUUUGCUAAGGCCUGAUUCACCCUGAGGGUGCGGUCAGCAAACACCUCUCUACAUUCCGGGCAGGAGUUUCUCUCCUCCCUUUCCCAACACCGUGUGAUACACGAGCGACAGAAGUUGUGUCCACACUCCAGUAUAACCGAUUCGGUGAAGAAAUCCAGGCAGACGGGACAAAUUGCUUCCUCGGUCCAACUGUCAUCCUGUCCUUUCGAAGCCAUGUUAACUCCAGCACUUUCCUGAUUCAGAAUGCUUUCCCUUUCGGGGAGCUGCUGAUCAGCUGCACGCUGCAGUGUCGGGCACUGACCGUGGUUUUGCUGGAUGUGUUCAGCUAUUUCCAUAUCAGGGUGGGAUCAGAAAAAUGUUAAACAUGUGGGAACAGUAAAGAAAACGUGGCCCUGGACUGCCUAAGCCCGGAUGCGAAAGCAGGAGGGUUGGGCUUCUGAAAAAAAAACAGAGCGACAGAAACGUCAACUGAAUCUCCAAAGGCCUCAUCCCCGGGAUCAGAAGGACCAUCCCCUUGGAUUGGACGGACCAUCCCCUGGGAUCAGACGGACCGUCCCCGGGAUCGGACGGGCCGUCCCCCGGGAUCAGACGGACCAUCCCUGGGAUCAGAAGGACCAUCCCCUGGAAGACGAUUGAAGUCGUGUGGUGAAAAAAGAAGCCACAGGGCCGAUCAACUCAGUCCCUGGAUUGGGGUCUCUGGCGAGCUGCUGUUGGCGACCCGUAGGCGUGGUGGGCUGAAGAAGAAGCAGAACAGAAAUGAAGCCGGAGAGAAGAGCCUGGUUCAGUCUGAAAGGGAGAAGUUCUGAAAAGAGAGGCCCAAGAGACUGCACGUGCUGGAACCUGCAGUAAGAAACAUGAUCCUGGAAGAAUUGUGGUGAGAAAUGUACAGUCGCCCUUCCUGGUCGAGAUCCUUCAUCUGGAAUGUCGAUUGUCCACUUCCCCCCACAGAUCGCUGCAGUUGCUGCCUGACCCGCUGAGUUCCUCCAGCGGCUUGUUUUUUUUUAAUUUUUCUCGGGAAAUAAAUAACGAGAACAUGAAAUAACUGCAGCGGCUGCUGAUGGAUCUGAGGUGCUCUCAUUCGGAACAUGCCUGACCUUUCACCUCAGCGCCACUUUCCUGCAAAGUUCCCAACAUCGCUGAGACACCAAAUUUGCCUUUUCAAUUCAGAAACCUUGUGGGGAAAAUUCAAAAAUAUUUGCCGCACUCUGGGUGAGAAACUUUCUCCUCAUCUCUGUCCUGCUGAGCUGACCUCUGAUUUUGAUUCUGGAUCCCUGGUUCCAAACCACAGCCCUGAAACAUCAUACCUACCGCUACCCUGUCCGUAUAAUCUCUCUAAAGACAUCUCCUUGUCCUUCUCUCUCCCCAAAUCAAUCUGGGAAACCUUCUCUUCAUUCCCUUCAUCCCACAGGCUGACUCCAGGAGGGAAACCAGACCUGUGCACAGUGUUCCAUUGUACGCUCUCACCAGGACCCCAUAUACCUUCGGAGGAGAUCUUUAUUCUUUUAUUUAAACCUUCCUUCCCAUUCAAUGCUCUUCAUUUAAUAUCGAACUCAAACAGUGAACAGACACAACACAGCCUCAGCCAUGAAUUUGAGGGGCAGGUGUUGCAACAGUUUGAGCUUCAUACCGGGGGCCACGGAGCAAGCAGGGUGUCACAAAGGGAGGAAUGUGGGGGUGCUGUAUGUCUGAGCCCAGCUGUGUGUGUUUGUGUAUCAGAAUCAGGUUUAAUAUCACAGGCAUAUGUGUGAAAUUUGUUGUUUUGUGACAGCAAUACAUUGCAAUACAUAGUAAUGAGAAGUAUAAAUUACAACAAAUAUGUACAACAUUAUAUUUAAAAGGUAGUGCAAAAGAGAGGAAAAAUACUGAGCAACUGUUCAUGGGCUCAUUGUCCAUUCAGAAAUCUUAUAGCCGAGGGAAAAAAGCUGUACCUGAAACAGUGAGUGGCUCUUUAAGACCGUGUACGUCCUCCUUGAGGGCAGCAAUGAGACGAAGGCAUAUCCUGGGUGAUGGGGGUCCUUAAUGAUAGAUGCCACCUUUUUGUGGCAUCAUCUUUUGAAUGUGUCCUGGAUGCUGUGGAGUCCAGAGCCCAUGAAGGAGCUGGCUGAGUUUACAACUUUCUGCAGCAUUUUCCGAUCCUGUGCAGCGGCCUCUCCACACCGAUAUAUCACCUUUCUCACUUUUCAUUGUUUAAGGAUGAGCACAUUACACAUGUGCUGCAUUUACUGAAAUUGUGCAGCGUAUUAAUUUAAAAUAAAGGACCCGGUGCUUUCCCGGCGUUGAUGACGUUUAAACUCUUCUCAGGCUUCCAACCGGGUACAGGUAUCUAUUUCAAUCAGCAUGCCAAUACCAAACUCUGCAUCUUCGUCAGUGACGACGCCUGGGCAUGUCUAAUUGGGGCGGUUGACGGAAAUAUAUAUACCACUGGACUAGACAUGCCCGGGCAUCAUCCCCGAUGAAGAUGGCAGAGUUUGUAAUGGAAACAUUGGUUAAAGUUGACACCUUUACCCGGCUGGAAGCAGGAGAAUUUAUUAUCCUGUUAAAAAAUUCAUCAUCAUCGAAGUAAGUUCCUUUAUCUUAUUAGAGAAGUGAUAUAUUUUUCAGAAGCGCUGACUUUUUUUGUCUUACACUUCUUGCCAUCGUUCUCAGCUCUUUGUUUAGUUUGCUGAGAAUUUGUAUGUUUGUCUGUACUCUAAGAUAAACUGGAAUUUUGAAAUU